CAAGUCGAGCGAAUCUGAGGGAGCUUGCUCCCGAUGAUUAGCGGCGGACGGGUGAGUAACACGUGGGCAACCUGCCUGUAAGACUGGGAUAACACCGGGAAACCGGUGCUAAUACCGGAUAAUUCUUUUCUACUCAUGUAGAAAAGCUGAAAGAUGGCCUCGGCUAUCACUUACAGAUGGGCCCGCGGCGCAUUAGCUAGUUGGUGAGGUAACGGCUCACCAAGGCGACGAUGCGUAGCCGACCUGAGAGGGUGAUCGGCCACGCUGGGACUGAGACACGGCCCAGACUCCUACGGGAGGCAGCAGUAGGGAAUCUUCCGCAAUGGACGAAAGUCUGACGGAGCAACGCCGCGUGAGUGAUGAAGGUUUUCGGAUCGUAAAACUCUGUUGUUAGGGAAGAACAAGUACCGUUCGAAUAGGGCGGUACCUUGACGGUACCUAACCAGAAAGCCACGGCUAACUACGUGCCAGCAGCCGCGGUAAUACGUAGGUGGCAAGCGUUGUCCGGAAUUAUUGGGCGUAAAGCGCGCGCAGGCGGUCUCUUAAGUCUGAUGUGAAAGCCCACGGCUCAACUGUGGAGGGUCAUUGGAAACUGGGAGACUUGAGUGCAGAAGAGAAGAGCGGAAUUCCACGUGUAGCGGUGAAAUGCGUAGAGAUGUGGAGGAACACCAGUGGCGAAGGCGGCUCUUUGGUCUGUAACUGACGCUGAGGCGCGAAAGCGUGGGGAGCAAACAGGAUUAGAUACCCUGGUAGUCCACGCCGUAAACGAUGAGUGCUAAGUGUUAGAGGGUUUCCGCCCUUUAGUGCUGCAGCAACGCAUUAAGCACUCCGCCUGGGGA
rnacentral:rRNA from 1 species